rnacentral:rRNA from 1 species
UACGUAGGUGGCAAGCGUUAUCCGGAAUUAUUGGGCGUAAAGAGCUCGUAGGUGGUUUGUCGCGUCUGCCGUGAAAGCCCGGGGCUUAACUCCGGGUCUGCGGUGGAUACGGGCAGACUAGAGGCAGGUAGGGGAGAACGGAAUUCCCGGUGUAGCGGUGAAAUGCGCAGAUAUCGGGAAGAACACCAGUGGCGAAAGCGCUCUACUGGGCCAUAACUGACACUGAGGGACGAAAGCUAGGGGAGCGAAAGGG